GGGGCCCUUGGUUGGUUCGCCGGCAUCUCCCCUCUGCAUUUCAGCUCCGGCUGGAGUUUUUAUAACAACACCAUAACCUGAAAUGGACCAAAACGAGCAGGAUUCUUUCCCUCUCAAGGCCACGCGCUUGCAUUCUCGCACAAAAAACAGGAACAAACUUGGAUACAUUUCAGCAACUCCACUGAAAUUUGACCAGGUUUCUCUCGGCUGAUGGGACUUCAGCUGCUCUGAGCGUCUUCCUCCCAUCAUAGCUUUUAUCCUGUCAGAAGGCGGUUAGCGGCGGCUGCAGGUGCUACCUUUACCUGGACGAAAUGCAGCGUGAGCCCGCGCUCUCCUCAAACAAACACAUACACACACACACACACACACACACACAUACACAUACACACACUUUACUCAAGGAGAUAUCUUUUUGUUCUUUACCACAAAUUGCAUCCUAAAAUUAUCUCUCACUCUUUUUCUCACUCUCCUUGUCGCUCUCUCUCAAAAACAAAUAAUAUAUUCUAGCCAAACAAGCUCAUUCCCUAUUGUAAAUGAGUGUCCGAAAUAAUCAGUCAGAUUAAUUUGUUAUUUUGGACUAAUAUCUAUAAUUAAUGGUGUUAAUUGCUGUCAUUUUCUCUUUUUUUUAGGUGUAGAGGGUUGAUGAUGUGUUAUUUUCAGCAUGUGGGUAAGUAAUAGUACUUUUUUUUUCGAGGUACUGCACAAAACAUAAUUUUGUACCUGAGCAGCUGCUGUUUAUUACAUUGUUUUUGCUUUUUUUUAAAGUAGGCAUUCUUGUUGUGUACUUAAUAAUUAUUAAUGUGCAUUUGCGGAACAAAAAUGUGUAUAUAUGUACUGUAUGUUUACACGAUGGGUUAAAUAAAGACUUCUAAACCUUUCGCUGUUUAUAUGUUAUUUAAGCAGAAUGUGUUUCUCUAUUGUUGUGAAUUUGUUAAAGAUCACAUCAAAUUUGAUGACCAGUUUAUGCCAGGUAAACACAAAGGGUGCACAUGUUUUUUUCCUGCGACUAUAUGUAUUCUUACAAUACAAUAAAUACAUAAUGAGUCCAUAAACUAGGAAAAAAAAAAAAAAUACUUUUAGUGAAUAAUGUUAAUGUGUCAAGUAAAGAUAUGUGUGUUUGUGUGAAAGUGUACUGUAGCAGUUUCAGUAGGUGAGUGAGAUGCACACACACAUACUCCUGCAUUAAAAGAGGCGGGGAAUUGAGACAGACCUUCUUCUUUAAGACGUACUGUACACAAAAAUAUACCUUCACGCACAUGCGCUCACACAAAUGCAUGCAAACACAUUUAAACACUCUC